GCCGGGCAUGGUGGCGUGCACCUGUAAUCCUAGCUACUCGGGAAGCUGAGGCGGAAGGAUUGCUUGAGCCCAGGAGGUCAAGGCUGCAGUGAGCUGUGAUUACGCCACUGCACUCUUGCCUGGGUGACAGAGUGAGACCCUGUCUCAA
ensembl:misc_RNA Metazoa_SRP Metazoan signal recognition particle RNA